AAGCUGAAUACGGGAGAGCCCUCGACGCCAUGGCCGUCCUCUUGCGUGGAUCGAGCUCAGCCGCGGUAGAGAGCAGAGAGCAAGACUACAGAUACAGUCCUGACUCACUGGAAGACAUCCCAGAAUACUCCCCUGAAGAACUCCUAGGAUACGGAUCUUCUCUACAUUAACAUUUACUUGACCCAAAAGUGGAAAACUCAAACUUUAUCAUUUCAGUACUUGUGUGGUUUCCUUGCUUAUUUUAUAUGGGAAAAAAUGCUGUGCAUGUGCAGUAUUAAUUGGUGUCAAAAAUAUUUAUCUGUGUAAAACAAAAAUAAACAUACUGUUUGUUUGAGUA